GGGGAUUUAGCUCAGUGGUAGAGCGCUUGCUAGGCAAGUGCAAGGCCCUGGGUUCGGUCCCCAGCUCCG
rfam:Rattus norvegicus chromosome 14, whole genome shotgun sequence.